CUUUGGAAUCUCUGGAAGGGGAGGAAUGCUCUGAUGUUUGAAAAGACCCGUAUAUCAGCUUCUUCAAUGGUUACUAAAGCUCUAGAAGAAGCAGAGAUUUGGAAUAAGGUUAACUCGAAUGUUCUGGCAUGCGAGGAAGUACAGGUUCAACCUCCUACUGUUCAAAAUAUAUGGACUAAGCCUCCCUUGGGUUCCAUCAAAUGUAACAUUGGAAUGGCUUGGAGUAGUUUGGGACCGUUUACGGGAGCAAGCUGGAUCACAAGAGAUAGCUGUGGGCGUCCUAUUCAUCAUAGUCGUCGAGCUUUCUGUUCCUCUGCCUAUAAACGGGAGUCAGACCUUAAAUCUCUUCUUUGGGCUAUAGAAGCGAUGGGUAGCUUGCGGGUCAAGAAAGUUAUCUUUGAAGCUUCUUCUUUCGAGGUGAGACAGUCCCUCCUACACCCCUAUCACUAUAUGGAUCUCCUACCCCUUAUCCAACGAAUCCUAGCUCUCUUACACUGUUUUGAGGUAUGGUCUAUAUGCUAUGUAUCUGAUCAGAAUAACAGUGUAGCACAAGCAAUUGCAGAAAGCGUGGUUAUAGGGGCUCGCUCACAAUCGUAUGUUGGGUCUGGGGGGCCUUUGUGGCUGCAGCAACUUAUUCAGCAAGAGGCAGGGAAUUAAGUAACAUUCUAUAGCUCCGUUCUCCGUUCUCUGGUGGUUUUUAAACUGUCCCCUUUUUCUAUAGCUCUUUUACAAGAGUGCUGUGGUACCUACUGGUACUUGUAUUUUUCUCAGCUUUUUUCAUAUUCUCUUGUCUUUGCAGUAAUAUUGUCCUUUUGGACUUUCAAAUUAAUGAAAACUCAGUGUUAAAAAAAAAAAAGCACCUCCUUCUCUGCUGACGUGGCUGCUUGUGGAGAGAGCAUAAUCUAACUUCCUCUUUAUGAUUACGUGGCAGCACAGGAGAAGAGAAUCUUCUCCUUUAUAUAUAUAUUGGUAUUUGCCAACGCCAUCAUUUACUCGAGCUUACGGAAACUGAACAUCUUAGUUGGGAAAGGAUUAGCAACGACAGGCACUUCAACCAGCUUGGUAAACUCGUCGACUCGGAUGGCGACGUUUGAAUAACAAAGGUUGAAAUUUUUGUUGCUUAACAUGACAUCGAAACCCUCUCAGCUUGUUCAUAGCCCCCUCCCUAAGAAGUUCUAUGAAAGUGUUAAGGCAAUACAGAGGCUUGGAUGAGAUAUUCCUAUAGGAAGAAGAGAUAUGUAUGUUUAUAAGAGACCAACAAUUAUGGAACCAAAUAACAGUAAUCACGAAUCAAAAUCAGUGCAAAUACCAAAAAAAAAAACUAAACUAAACAAACAAACAGUAAUCACGAAUCACAAUUAGUGUAAAAUCUACCUUAUCAUUCAAAGUAGCAUCUCGUUUCCCAUAAUUUCACCACCUUUCUUCACAUUCCUAGCUUUCCAACAACCGAGAAGGCGUGUGACAACGGUUAGACUGCAACGACCAUGCUUAAAUUCGGAAAGUUAUAUGGGAAGUCGCCAUUGUUCAACUCAACUUUCAAAUAUUUGAGUUUGCUUGCUAGGAAGGUCCAAUAUUUAUAGAUGUAGAUUUAGGGGGUUACAGUGGAAACGAAAAUGUAGAUAGAAAUCUUAAUGUGGGAGUUGUGGCCUAAUGAAGGGAAAACCCAGAUUAAAUGACGGAUUUAAGGAUUUGUGAGACGUUACGGUUAGCAAAGGGAGUCGAGUUUAGUCUGUGUGUUCGUCGGCUAAGACUCAGCUGCAAGAAGAAGAAGGGAGAAGAACCCUAAUACAUGUGGGCAGCAAAUAACAUGUGGGCCGCAAAAAUAUAAGUGAAGCCCAGAUAGAUUUUACUUUCGGGACGCGCGUGAGCGUAACAAAUAUACAAAAACAAAAGAAACCCAUGAACACACAGAGAGCAUAACGAGUCUACAUGUGUCGCUAAAAACACCUCCUUCUCUGCUGACGUGGCUGCUUGUGGAGAGAGCAUAAUCUAACUUCCUCUUUUUGAUUACGUGGCAGCACAGGAGAAGAGAAUCUUCUCCUUUAUAUAUAUUGGUAUUUGCCAACGCCAUCAUUUACUCGAGCUUACGGAAAUUGAACAUCUCAGUUGGAAAAGGAUUAGCAACGACAGGCACUUCAACCAGCUUGGUAAACUCGUCGACUCGGAUGGCGACGUUUGAAUAACAAAGGUUGAAAUUUUUGUUGCUUAACGUGACAUCGAACCCUCUCAGCUUGUUCAUAGCCCCCUCCCUAAGAAGUUCUAUGAAAGUGUUAAGGCGAUACAGAGGCUUGGAUGAGAGAUUCCUGUAGGAAGAAGAGAUAUGUAUGUUUAUAAGAGACCAACAAUUACGGAACCAAAUAACAGUAAUCACGAAUCAAAAUCAGUGCAAAUACCAAAAAAAAAAAAAAACUAAAUUAAACUAAACAAACAAACAGUAAUCACGAAUCACAAUUAGUGUAAAAUCUACCUUAUCAUUCAAAGUAGCAUCUCGUUUCCCAUAAUUUCACCACCUUUCUUCACAUUCCUAGCUUUCCAACAACCGAGAAGGCGUGUGACAACGGUUAGACUGCAACGAUCAUGCUUAAAUUCGGAAAGUGAUAUGGGAAGUCGCCAUUGUUCAACUCAACUUUCAAAUAUUUGAGUUUGCUUGCUAGGAAGGUCCAAUAUUUAUAGAUGUAGAUUCAGGGGGUUACAGUGGAAACGAAAAUGUAGAUAGAAAUCUUAAUGUGGGAGUUCUGGCCUAAUGAAGGGAAAACCUAGAUUAAAUAACGGAUUUAAGGAUUUGUGAGACGUUACGGUUAGCAAAGGGAGUCGAGUUUAGUCUGUGUGUUCGUCGGCUAAGACUCAGCUGCAGGAAGAAGAAGGGAGAAGAAUCCUAAUACAUGUGGGCAGCAAAUAACAUGUAGGCCGCAAAAAUAUAAGUGAAGCCCAGAUAGAUUUUACUUUCGGGACGCGCGUGAGCGUAACAAAUAUACAAAAACAAAUGAAACCCGUAAACACACAGAGAGCAUAACGAGUCUACAUGUGUCGCUUAAAGCACCUCCUUCUCUGCUGACGUGGCUGCUUGUGGAGAGAGCAUAAUCUAACUUCCUCUUUUUGAUUACGUGGCAGCACAGGAGAAGAGAAUCUUCUCCUUUAUAUAUAUUGGUAUUUGCCAACGCCAUCAUUUACUCGAGCUUACAGAAAUUGAACAUCUCAGUUGGGAAAGGAUUAGCAACGACAGGCACUUCAACCAGCUUGGUAAACUCGUCGACUCGGAUGGCGACGUUUGAAUAAAAAAGGUUGAAAUUUUUGUUGCUUAACGUGACAUCGAACCCUCUCAGCUUGUUCAUAGCCCCCUCCCUAAGAAGUUCUAUGAAAGUGUUAAGGCAAUACAGAGGCUUGGAUGAGAGAUUCCUGUAGGAAGAAGAGAUAUGUAUGUUUAUAAGAGACCAACAAUUAUGGAACCAAAUAACAGUAAUCACGAAUCAAAAUCUGUGCAAAUACCAAAAAAAAAAAAAAAACUAAACUAAACAAACAAACAGUAAUCACAAAUCACAAUUAGUGUAAAAUCUACCUUAUCAUUCAAAGUAGCAUCUCGUUUUCCAUAAUUUCACCACCUUUCUUCACAUUCCUAGCUUUCCAACAACCGAGAAGGCGUGUGACAACGGUUAGACUGCAACGACCAUGCUUAAAUUCGGAAAGUGAUAUGGGAAGUCGCCAUUGUUCAACUCAACUUUCAAAUAUUUGAGUUUGCUUGCUAGGAAGGUCCAAUAUUUAUAGAUGUAGAUUUAGGGGGUUACAGUGGAAACGAAAAUGUAGAUAGAAAUCUUAAUGUGGGAGUUGUGGCCUAAUGAAGGGAAAACCCAGAUUAAAUGACGGAUUUAAGGAUUUGUGAGACGUUACGGUUAGCAAAGGGAGUCGAGUUUAGUCUGUGUGUUCGUCGGCUAAGAGUCAGCUGCAAGAAGAAGGGAGAAGAACCCUAAUACAUGUGGGCAGCAAAUAACAUGUGGGCAGCAAAAAUAUAAGUGAAGCCCAUACAGAUUUUACUUUCGGGACGUGCGUGAGCGUAACAAAUCUACAAAAAAGAGAAACGCGUGAACACACAGAGACCACAACGAGUCUACACGUGUCGCUAAAAGCACCUCCUUUUUCUGCUGACGUGGCUGCCUGUGGAGAGAGCAUAAUUUAGGAUAGGCCCGCCCUACGGGCGGGAAGUAAAAAAAAAUCUUUUAUUUAUUCUCAAUUUGAAAAUAAUUUUUAAAAAUAUUUAUUAUUGGAUUUUGUUAUUUUUAUUUUAAAAACAUAUGUUUAACUAACUAAAAAUCAUUUUAUUACGUCAUUAUUUUGCAUUUUUCAAUACUGAUAUUAUUCAGAAUGGCGGCGGAGAUUCAACAUAUAAGUUUUUCUCUUUUAUAUAUUUUAAUAUUUUUUUUUCUUUUUUACUUCUCUUUGAAAUCUAUUAUUUGAAAUUGAAUUAAACGCUCAGGUGCUCCUGCCCGGAAAAAAAUGAUCUGAGAUACUCCUGCCCGAAACUGACCGGAUUUGGAAUUUAAUAUAUCUUUAAUUAAAUCAAAAAAUUUAUUAAAAGACCACAGAGCCAACAGAAACUUACAUAAUUACAACCUAACCAGGGCCAUUUCGCGGACCAUCCAUACCCGAUCCAUAAAUUCGGAUCUAUUUCGCCUUAACUUCCGAAACCUUUAUAUGACUUAGUGUAAUUGUAAACUUUGGUAUAACUGUGUAGCGUAAUAAAACCUGAACAAAUAAAUACUGUCCCAGUUACAAAGUUAUGCUAAAUUGAACAAAAUCGCACAUUGAGUACUCCACAUUUAUAUUGCAAUUUAUUAUUACGUUAUUGUUCGGCCACAUGUGUUGUUAUUGAUAUAUUUAGUGAAGUUCAAAUAAAAAGAUUAGUUUAUAGAUAUAACUAGAGUAAUUACAAAAUGUUUAUAGAUAGAACUAGAGAAAUAACAGAGCAUAACAGCUCAUCAACUUAACAACUUAGUAAAACUAGAUAAAACUUCUACUAAUUUUCAAUUGGCCAUGUGCGAGCAGUCAAGUGUAUUUGGUAGCAGAAGUCCCAAGCUGCACAAUUCUAGAAACAACGAUCGCAUUUCCACCGUGAUCGUGAUCCAUCUAGGGAGACUUCAAACUCUGGAGGGUCUAUGUGGGAACACCAGCAAUCACAUGGCACAUUAGGAUCUAUCCUUUCAGCCACAGAUAGAAACACGUCAGGUUUAUCGUAAUCCCAAUGGCCUGAGAGUUGCCAACUACAGAUGAUUUGAAACAUCUUAUAAACAUGUUGACGAGUAAAGGCCGGAUAGUUGUGAACAAUUCCCCUAUGAUCAAUGCUAAAGGCUAAGUUCAGCAUUCCAUCAACAAACUGGGCCAACUCGCAUCCUCUCUCACCAGCAAGAUGGAUUUUUUCCCUUCCUUCAUCAACUAAAUGGAGGAUGAAGAACUCAUACAUACCUCUCAAGUAUAUGGCCUCUGGAUUACCCGAACGGUAGCAUUUAAGCCUGAAUGUUCGAACAGCACUAACCUCGUCUACCCAGUCAUUCAGGUAAAUGAGAUUGGCCGUAGAAGUGAUCUUCUCUUCCAACUUCGUUGAACCCGGGAAAAGCAAUCCUUGCAGAACCAAAAUCCCGGAUAUUCAUCGUUGCUACCGUAGAGAGAAUCUUAUGAAGCUUUGAAGGAGGGAGAGAAUCCAUGUCUAACUCUGAUAAAAGAAAAAAUGUUAUUGUGUGAGAGAGAUGAGGGAAAUUGUAGAGAUUCGAAAUUGUAUGUAAUUGUAGAGUGUAAUUGUAGAAGUGAUAAACCAUUUAUAGGUGAUUUGAUGGACUCCUCGAGAAGAUAUGACUUCUGUGACACGCCUUUUGAAUAACAGUCGCAUCUGUUGGAAUUGAAACUUUGUAAAACUAUAAUUUAUUAAGAUAUAUCUAACUAUAUUUAAUGAAGUUGAACAGUGGCGUGUCCAUUUAAGGUUGAUUUGAUGAGUAUUAUUACUUGAUUGACUCAGGUUGAUUUGAUGAGUAUUAUUACUUGAUUGACUCGAGACUCCCCCGAGAUUAAACCAUUUCUCUCCCCGAGAAAGCAUAACUACUUCAACUUAUCUAACACGCUUUCUGACUGCAACAGUCGCCUCUCCUGAAUUUUAACAUACAUAAAGUCUCUUGUGAAAAAGUCUCUUUUAAUAAUCAUUACACUUCCGAGUAUCAUUUAUACGCUACAUCUCUUGCAUUUAAGAGAAUUCUGCAUUUAAACACUCACUGUUACUCCAUCUCCUCUCUCAUCUCUUCUCUCAUCUCUGAGAAUACUCCAUCUCUUCUCUCAUCUCUCAACAAACAAGAUGGCAGAGUACGAUAAGCUUUCCGAGGUUACUUAUAACCCGGCGGUCAGGGCUUGGCGUUUCAGAGUGAAACUACACAGGAUCUACCCUUUCUAUUCCUGUGUUACCAACAGUGGGCUUUACUAUAACUAUAUCCUCGCAGAUGAAGAUGUAAGUGUUAUAUCAUCAUCUCUCAAUUGUGUAAUAAACAUGUAACCGUCAGAAAUAAAAACUUUAUCCUUGUAACAUGUAAUAAACAUGAUCUUUGUACUUUAUUUUUGUAGGGAUACAAGAUGGAGAUGAACACUUAUGGGAAUUAUAAAAAAUUUAGAGGCCUUGAGAAGGAAGAGGGAAGAUGGGUGGAAAUCUUUGUGGUAGAUGUUGAACGGGCCUACCCAUGUUUCAAGACAACUAGGUCUCCGUUCAGGCUAAUUGCUUCGCGCCUUACGCAAGUCCGCAUCAUCGAACCUCUGAACAAUCGUCUUUUCUUUGAUUUGAAAAGCAUCCAUGCAAUCCCUCGCAUGCACUGGUGUGACCUCAAAUAUCCCAUAGGUAACAUGGCUUGGUUUCAGAACUUUGUAUAACUCUGUAGAUGUAAGUGAAACUAAGUGAAACGAACUGAUUUAGUUGAGUAACACUUAUAUGGUAGAUACAAUGGGAGUGGUCUUCAACACGGAAGCCCAUCUCGAUGCCCCUUCAGGACCAAGGAUGGAGUUUUACAUAAGGGACAACAUGUGAGUAUAAAGUAACAUAUGAUCUAAGCAAAAUUUGUAUAUAUAUAUAUAUAUAUAUAUUGUAACUGACGCACUUUUUCUUUAUUCUGAAUAGUGACCAUCAGAUAAGAUGUGUGGUGACCGGCACUCAGGCAGUUGCCUUCCGGGAUGGUCUUGAUGACAUGAGUGGUGGGGGUCGUAGACAGGUGAUUGUGGUCCUUAAGAUGUGGAGAGUCUGUGAAUCUACGAGUAAGUGUUGUUUCUGUGUCUAGUUUUAAAUGUGAUAAUUGAGUAGAACUUUUGCUAAAAUCAAGACCAUGCAGAUUAUUUUGGUCCUGAUGAUAUAUGGCUUCAGACUGAAGGUGGAUUUGCGGACUUCAGGUUCAAUCCGCGUUUGCCAGAGGUUGAGGAAUUCAGGCAGUCUGUACUAAACAGCGACCCUUAUGUUCAGAAAUAUGGGGUUGAAUGUCUCAUGUAAAUGUUUAAUGUCGGUGAAACUUUGUUUAAAUAUCGGUACAACUAUGUGUUAAUGUUGGUGAAACUAUCUCUAUUGUCGGUACAACUUUGUUCACUCUAUUGUUCAAUUUUCCAACUUUAUAGUUUCACUUAGUUAAUUUUCCAACUUUUCGUUUCACUUAAUCUCACCUGUUUCAACUUUUGGUUUCACUUAAUCUCACUUGUUUCAACUUUUGGUUUCACUUAAUCCUUGUUCCAACUUCUGGCUUAACUUAAUCCUCUGUUCGACUUUUUCGUAUAAAUAGGUCAGAUAUUGUGUUAAUUUCAUUUUCUCAAUUGUCUAACAAACUAAAAAUAAUAGAAACUUUUUCGAUAGAUCAAACUACAUGGUUGUUCAACUUCGCAUAACUUAGAAAAACAUAGCUUAGCAAUAACAGUUAGUUAUAGGAAUUGGAAUUCUCUUAGGAAUUUCAAUUACUUUUUGUACAUCAUAAUUCCUACAACUAAAACGAUGGUAAGAAGAACACAACCUCUUGAUAUCUUUAUCAUGGGCAUCUUUUUGGGACCUUCGCGGAUAUCUCCUUCAUUCCUUAUUGUUGCUUUGAGACUCUGAACUUCUUCUUCGAGCAUUCGAACUUGGUAGUCCAGCUGCUGUAUCUCAUCGGUGAAGGCUUCGUCAACCCAUUUGAAGACAUGAUUGUCGUUCUCGAGCUACAACAUGAUUUUUUUCAAAACGAGUAAGCGUGAUUCAUAAGCGUUCGAUAUAUAAACAACAAACGGAUGUACCCUUUGUGAAGCCGCAAAGAGACACCGAUAAUACCGGCGAUAUGGGUUUGGAUUGCUUCUGGACAUGAUCUCGGUGACGCCCACCCCGCACCAACACCUACUAGGUAUCCCCGAAGUUCGUAUCCGUCUCCGACCACCGGUCAUGGAAGAUGAAGCGGCGGACAUCUCGGUUUUUGGGAGGGGAGGGAGUGACGACGAGAGAGAGGAGAAAGAUUAGGGAAGAGAGAGAAAAUGAAGAUAGAAAAUGGGGAAAACCUAAAAAAAUGGUCUUUAAUACUUCGAUUGAACGAUUGGGAAAAGCUGGGAAAUUAGAAAUUCGAAAAGCUGGGAAAUUAGAAAUUCGAAAAGCUGAGAAAUUAGAAAUUCGAAAAGCUGGGAAAUUAGAAAUUCGAAAAGCUGGGCGGGAAAAUUAAGAAUCCCACGGUUUUUUCUGUUGUAAGUUUCACCAAGUACUCAGUUUUACAGAAAGUGUCAAAGUUGCACUUUUUAAUUAUUUCUAUUUAUCUUAGUUAUACUCGACUUGAAUUAAUGAUUUUGUGGUUAUACCAAUGCAAUUAUGUUUCCUGAGUUCAUUUCUCAUACGAUCAUGUACAUAUAAACUUGAUUUCGUGCCAUAAAGAGUUAUCAAAUCUAACGAGGUCAGUUUCAGCGAUAAAGCUAUGACAACACAUUGUAUUUCCUAUAUGAUUGCUACCAAGCAAUGAGAUAGAAUUUUAACAAUUCUGAUUAAAUCAUAAUUAACAUAGCACUAAUAAUAAACUACAAUCGUAUUACUUCCAUGACUUAUAAAAUUAAAUUACAAAGUUUAGCAUUUACAAUCAUAUUAUUCAAUUUACAUAACGUAGUUAUACCAGUUUCACUUAGUUAUACAACACACAAAUAAAAUUUAUUUCACCUCACAGCGUUCUCAUACGAUAAAAACACCAAAACCGAAAGUGAAAGGCAAACACCAAAACCGAAAGUGAAAGGCUUACAACCUAAUCCACAUCAAAACUGAAACCGAAAGGUUUACAACCUACUCUUCUUCUGUUUCUUGUGGGGAUGUUCAUCGUGCUCCAAACAUGUGCCCACAUUAUCUUCUUCUCCAUUUCCACUCUCACGCUCACAAUAGUUCCUACUACAAGAGCUCUCUCCAACUCUCGACAGUUGCUCGGUUAUUUGAACUAUUUGCAAUUCUUCGAUGUCCUCCACAUGCAAAAUACUUCUUCUUUGCUCUCUAUCAACUGAUGUUAGAUAAACAAACACAUCUUCAUCAUCCAAAAUAUAUGAUUGCCUCUUAGGUUCCACUACCAAUGGAAUGUAACCCAAAUUGAGCCUCUUCGUAAACGGAUAUAUUCCCAUCUUCCUGCAUAUCCUCUCUUUCAACAACGAAUAAGUGAUCUCCUCCAAUGAUGAUGUCUUAAAGGAUAUAGCAUACAAACGAGCAUCGGUUGGAAUCCAUUCAUAAUCAUCUCCAUCCUUAGAAUAAUGUCCAUCAUAAUCAAAGUGUAUGUUCGU